ACAUUAUUGUGGCCGACAUGAUGGAAAAUCAUGGGUACGUAUGAUGACUAACGGUGUAAUAUUUAAGUGUAUGAUUUGUCAAACUUAGGUAUUAGACACCCCAAAAUGAAAGUCUGCUAGAUGAUUUCAGACCUUAAAAGCAGACUACUGUCAAUAUACUGUAUGUCCACAUCCCACACCAUUGCUUGAUAGAAUUGGCAACAAAAAUAUUUCUGUUCAUUUUGAGGUAUAGUUUCUAUAUCUACAAACCAAUGGUUCGGAAUGGAAACAUGGCUUGACAGUAGUGUACUUUUUGAGGUAUGAAAACAUCUUAAAAGCUUUCAUUUUAGGGUGACCUUUGACACCAGCUCCAUUACUGUGGCAUUGUGAUUUUAGGUGGAUCUGAAACACCAGUCAUGCAUGCAUUCCCUGUAGAGUACCAGCCUGUCUGUUAAUACUGAGGGGUUUUUCCAGAACCAUCCCUCAGCUUUAGAUCAAAACAUGUAGUGGGGCUUCAGUUUUGCUGAGAAAUGAAUCAGAUUAUCGCUUUUACUAGAAUUGUUGUUACUUUUUAUUUUAUCUUCCUCAAAGUAGGAUCCCCCCAUCAAGUGUCCGCACCAACUACGCCCUGGGGAUUGUGACUUUAUUCCCCUACUUGAAUGAUCCAGAUUCAGAGCAUGGUUAUGAAAAAUAUUAUGAUGCAGCUAGUGGGUCUGGUUACCUGACCUGGAGAAUAAAGACAGUGGGGCGCAACACGUCAUGUAAGACCAAGAAGAGAACCAAGCCCUCCUAUCAAAAUGGUCCCAAGGCUCAGCGAAGUUGCCCUUCAGCUGUUGAGCAACUGUCGGGGGAUGAAUGCAGAGAGGCGAUAUCUGUGCUUCAGCAUACAACAACUAAUGAGUCACUGGUUCGAGAGAAGAUGAUGGUGACGUUCCAAUACAGACAGGAGGUGGUUCAUGAUCCGGAGAAGUCCUCAACUGUCCUAGAUGUCUUCCCCAGAUUCCUUGACACUACAGGCUUGGUAAGACUGUAUGAAUAGAAUUCAUCAUGUUUUAGUGAUUUUAAAAGAAAGUGGAAAGUUAAUUAAUUUUGAUUUUUUUGUUGUUGUUGAAUGUACUUCAGAUCAACCAAGAUUUCACCAGACUUUUCGGAGAGGUGGUGUCUGGGACAUUUAUGGCGAAGUGGCCAACAUUUUUCAAACCCAGGGUCAUUGCAGAUUGCAAAACCCUUCCCUUUAGUGAACCUGUGGAAGACCUAAUCUCAUCUGCGCAGCAGGAAUCCAAUGAUUAUGGUACUAGUGCAGAACUCAAAUAUAUGUUCUUUGGUGUUUCCAAUGACUUUUCUAACUUGACCAUACAAUGUCUGAGUGAAACUGGCAUGUGAGCUUUUACUGAGCAUUUCUUGUUUUCCACUGAAAAAUUAGGAUGGGAGAGUGACUUGGCAGCCAUUUUGUUGCUUCUGCAUCUCCUACCCCCGACCUCAAAGGGCCCGAAGACCGCAAAGAUCCGUACCUCUCAAGCUGCUGACCAUCUGGUUAGAUUUAUGAAGGUUUGUAUGUUCUGUGAUCUUUGUGCACUUUUCCUUUCCUUAGGACAGUACUUUUUAGCAAUACACAGCUCCUGUUUGCCCCUCCCCUGCCACUUUGACAGUUUCACAUUAUGGUCUCCAGAGGUGUAGCCAAAUUCAAUUACAUCCCAUGUAAAUAGGAUAACCAUCCAUUUUAUGAAACUCUGAGCGCA
rnacentral:lncRNA from 1 species